UACGUAGGGUGCGAGCGUUAAUCGGAAUUACUGGGCGUAAAGCAUGCGCAGGCGGUGGCUCAAGCCAGGCGUGAAAUCCCCGGGCUUAACCUGGGAAUGGCGUUUGGGACUGGGUCGCUAGAGUGUGGCAGAGGGAGGUGGAAUUCCACGUGUAGCAGUGAAAUGCGUAGAGAUGUGGAGGAGCACCGAUGGCGAAGGCAGCCUCCUGGGCCAGCACUGACGCUCAUGCACGAAAGCGUGGGGAGCAAACAGG
rnacentral:rRNA from 1 species